AGUGAACGCUGGCGGUAGGCCUAACACAUGCAAGUCGAACGGCAGCACAGUAAGAGCUUGCUCUUACGGGUGGCGAGUGGCGGACGGGUGAGGAAUACAUCGGAAUCUACUUUUUCGUGGGGGAUAACGUAGGGAAGCUUACGCUAAUACCGCAUACGACCCACGGGUGAAAGCAGGGGAUCUUCGGACCUUGCGCGAUUGAAUGAGCCGAUGUCGGAUUAGCUAGUUGGCGGGGUAAAGGCCCACCAAGGCGACGAUCCGUAGCUGGUCUGAGAGGAUGAUCAGCCACACUGGAACUGAGACACGGUCCAGACUCCUACGGGAGGCAGCAGUGGGGAAUAUUGGACAAUGGGCGCAAGCCUGAUCCAGCCAUACCGCGUGGGUGAAGAAGGCCUUCGGGUUGUAAAGCCCUUUUGUUGGGAAAGAAAAGCAGCAGGUUAAUACCCCGCUGUUCUGACGGUACCCAAAGAAUAAGCACCGGCUAACUUCGUG
rnacentral:rRNA from 1 species